CUUGGUCAUUUAGAGGAAGUAAAAGUCGUAACAAGGUUUCCGUAGGUGAACCUGCGGAAGGAUCAUUAACGAGUUUGAAAUCGAGAGCCUGUUGCUGGUGCGGAAACGUACAUCGUGCACGGCUCCCGUGCUCAAUCCAUUUCAACCCCCUUGUGCACCUUAUCGAAGUCAGUAGUCUUUCUCUUUUUGUUUGCCGGUUGUGUGCGGGAACCUCUUUCUGUUCACUUGGCCGGCGAGGAGAAAUAGAGGGUCGAAAGCUUUGACUUUUCUGUUAAACACUUUGUAUGUCUUGUGGAACGUAUUAGCUCCUUUGUAGGGGCGAAAUAAAUACAACUUUCAACAACGGAUCUCUUGGCUCUCGCAUCGAUGAAGAACGCAGCGAAAUGCGAUAAGUAAUGUGAAUUGCAGAAUUCAGUGAAUCAUCGAAUCUUUGAACGCACCUUGCGCCCCUUGGUAUUCCGAGGGGCAUGCCUGUUUGAGUGUCAUGUUAAUCUCAAACCCCUUGUCUUUUUUGUUGACUUGGUCGGUUUGGACUUGGAGGUGUUGCUGGCGUGCGUCGGCUCCUCUUAAUUGCAUUAGCUGGACUUUGGUUCGCAUUUGACGGUGUAAUAGUAAAGUGUUCGCCGGGCGUGCUUGCCUAACGGGUCUGCUUCUAAUCGUCUUCGGACAACUCUGUUCAUUUUGACCUUUGACCUCAAAUCAGGUAGGACUACCCGCUGAACUUAAGCAUAUCAAUAAGCGGAGGAAAAGAAACUAACAAGGAUUCCCCUAGUAACUGCGAGUGAAGCGGGAAGAGCUCAAAUUUAAAAAUCUGGCGGCUUUCGGUCGUCCGAGUUGUAAUCUGG
rnacentral:rRNA from 1 species